GAGCUGGUCAGCUUGCUGAUUGGCUUAUCCUAGCGGCGGACGGGUGAGUAACGCGUGAGCAACCAACCUUGUACUGGGGGAUAACAGCUGGAAACAGCUGCUAAUACCGCAUAAGACUACGGCACCGCAUGGUGCUGUAGUAAAAGGUGCCGGGAGGCGCCGGUACAAGACGGGCUCGCGUCCCAUUAGCUAGUUGGUGGGGUAACGGCCUACCAAGGCGACGAUGGGUAGCCGGCCUGAGAGGGUGUACGGCCACACUGGGACUGAGACACGGCCCAGACUCCUACGGGAGGCAGCAGUGGGGGAUAUUGCGCAAUGGGGGAAACCCUGACGCAGCGACGCCGCGUGAGCGAGGAAGGCCUUCGGGUCGUAAAGCUCUGUCCCUGGGGACGAAUUAAGUGACGGUACCUGGGGAGGAAGCCCCGGCUAACUACGUGCCAGCAGCCGCGGUAAUACGUAGGGGGCGAGCGUUGUCCGGAGUUACUGGGCGUAAAGGGUGCGUAGGCGGCCCAUUAAGUCAGGUGUGAAAAACCCUGGCUCAACCGGGGUAUUGCACUUGAAACUGAUGGGCUUGAGUGCAGGAGAGGGAAGCGGAAUUCCUGGUGUAGCGGUGAAAUGCGUAGAUAUCAGGAGGAACACCAGUGGCGAA
rnacentral:rRNA from 1 species